rnacentral:rRNA from 1 species
UACGGAGGGGGCUAGCGUUGUUCGGAAUUACUGGGCGUAAAGCGCACGUAGGCGGUUUUGUAAGUUAGAGGUGAAAGCCUGGGGCUCAACUCCAGAAUAGCCUUUAAGACUGCAUCACUUGAACACGGGAGAGGUGAGUGGAAUUCCGAGUGUAGAGGUGAAGUUCGUAGAUAUUCGGAAGAACACCAGUGGCGAAGGCGGCUCACUGGACCGUUGUUGACGCUGAGGUGCGAAAGCGUGGGGAGCAAACAGG